CCCGAAAGUCCUCUAGCAGCACAUCAUGGUUUACAUGUUCUUGCCCAGAUGCGAAUCAUUAUUUGCUGCUUUAGGAAUUUAAGG
rfam:Sarcophilus harrisii ctg7180001652383, whole genome shotgun sequence.